GGCCUUGUGGCCCAAUGGAUAAGGCGCCUGACUACGGAUCAGGAGAUUCUAGGUUCGAGUCCUGGCAGGGUCG
rnacentral:tRNA from 2 species